CGUAUUGGGCUACUGGGUUGUCCAUGCCUGAGCAAGGCUCGCUCAUCCCCUUCUUCCCCCAACCGCAGUAGCCGGCGGUGCCCCAUCCGCGGUGCCGGCGAACUGGACCCUGCCUCUCGUCUUGCACGCGCUGCCGCCAUUGCUCGCUGCGAAAUCCUCCCCUCCCUAGUAUAGCAUCUCUCUGCCCCACCCCAUCUGCAGGGGUGCGCGCCACCCCGCCGUUCCUAAUCGACGGCCUCUGGAAGGGGGAUAGGGCCAUGAGGCCGCCGUCGUCUUCGCUCUCAUCCCCCACCCCCACCUCGUCGACAAAGCCAGACAAGUGUGCAGCCUGAAGGGCAAGGAUGGGGAUAAAUCAUACGAGUUGUUCAGUCAAAAAAGAAUCACAUGCGUUCAGUCAAAAAAGAAUUCAAAGAACGGGCAAGAGUGAUCACUUUGCAAGAAGUAGCUGGUGGUUGGGGUCAAGCUGAAGGCAGCUGAAGCUGCGGUGGGCAGCUGCCUGGGAGCCGCUGGAUGCCUCGUUGACUGGCCAUCAACCAUAUGGAGCCUUGUCUCACUAACCACAUAACGCUGUCAGGUUUGCUCCCUGACGAGGGUGGCGGAAACCUUGUGUUCUUUGUGGACAUCUGUGUCAACUAGCGGAAGGUAAUUGUGGCGACUUUUUUUUUGUACAUUUUGCAGCGCCAAAACUGAGGUUUCGAGCUAUGGUGAGUGUUUUUUUGUGUGUGUGUAGUUGACAGAAUUGUGGUCGGCUGCUUGACCUUAGAGCAUCACCAAUUGCUUACCUAAAAUGUACUAGUUACCUAUAUGGCUUUUAGGUAUGGACGCCAAUAACUAGCGAUCGUUCCCAGGGGAGGAAUCCUCAUGAACGAAUCGUGAACGUCGCUCGGGUGUGCUCGCUGCCCACCAGCGGUGUGCCUCAGAUCAGACUUAUAGACAAAAACAAGUCAACGGCUAUCAACUACGAGGAUGUGGAGCAAACAAGCUACUUCUUCUUUUUAUUUUGAGGCAAACAAGAUGGAUCAUGAUAUCAGGUCAAGCGAAAGCCCGCCUGGCCUUGAUAGGGCCAGACAACACGGCCCAACGUGUUCAUGGCCCAGACCGGCCAGAGAGAAAAUCGACCCCGGCCCGUCCCCUUCCUCCGCCGCACUGCCCGCCGGAUGCUGCCGCUCCGGUGGACCAUAUCCCCACUUCUGAUGGAUUCCGGUCGUCCCCGCGCUCCUCUGGCAGGCCGCCGCUCUUCCGUCUCCGGUAGCUCACUGCCGCUGCCACCGCAUCGACAGGUUUGAUUCACUGAAUACUCCAAUCAACUACAGAUUUGAGGAUCCUCCUACCAAUCAACUGCUCGUGCAAGGAUUCUGAGCGCUGGGCGGCGAGGCGAAGAGCUCAGAGGAAUAAUCCAGAGGGGACGCACCAUUGGCACGGUAAAAUUGACUCAAGAUAAGCAGCUUCGGAUUGUACUAAUUCGAAAAGAUACAGCAUACAGGUGGAGCUGAAGAGUUCACAUUUCCAGCAAUACCGAAAUUUGGUUCAUUUGUUGCGACAAAGUUAUGAUCUAUGUUGCUCUCUGCAUCCAUGGGUAAUAAGAUGGAUGUUCUCUUCAGACAAGGAAGUGUCGAGGUUCUUUCUUCCGCUCACGAUUUCCAUGACCACAACGCCAAAGCUAUAGACAUCGGCCUUCUCCGUGAUUUGUGAUGUCAACCAUUCAGGGGCUAGAUAACCAGCCAGAUCACCUGUAACACUGGACCCUGGAGGGGCGCUGGGGCAGCAACGCGAAGGGUAUCUGUGGGGUCGAGAUCGCUAUGGAACAGGAUCAUUGGGGCCAGUGAGUUGAGCUGGUCAGCGGCAGCUGCGUCGAAGCAGCUUGAGGAUUGGAGGUCAACAAUGGCGGCAAUGAAAAGCAGUGGCCCUGCCUUUUCGUCAAAAAAAAAAAUGGCGGCAACUCUUGGGUGGUGGGCAGAAUGCCUCGCGCAUUAUUUUUGUGGUUGGGAUGUAGGCACUGUCAUAUUCAACCCAUCUAUCUCAAUUACAAGUUGUCAUGUAAUCCAAGCUUUUUGGAAGUGAAAGAUUUGGAGGAAUAGAGGAGCUCAUCAAGGCCACAAAAGAAAGC